GUUAAAAAGCUCGUAGUUGGAUUUCUGUUGAGGAUGACCGGUCCGCUCUUUGAGCGCGUAUCUGGUUCAGCCUUGGCAUCCUCUUGGGGAACGCUACUGUGCUUGAUUGCAUGGUGCGGUAUUCAAGACUUUUACUUUGAGGAAAUUAGAGUGUUCACUGCAAGCGUUAGCAAUUGAUUACAUUAGCAUGGAAUAAUAAUAUAGGACCUUGGUACUAUUUUGUUGGUUUCUAGAACUAAGGUAAUGAUUAAUAGGGACAAUUUGGGGCAUCCGUAUUAACGCGUCAGAGGUGGAAUUCUUAGAUUGCGUUACGACGAACUACUGCGAAAGCAUUUGCCAAGGAUGUUUUCAUUGAUCAAGAACGAAAGUAUGGGGAUCGAAGACGCUUAGAUACCGUCGUAGUCUAUACCAUAAACUAUGCCAACUAGAGAUUGGAGGUCGUUCUCUUUAUGACUCCUUCAGCACCUUAUGAGAAAUCAAAGUCUUUGGGUUCCGGGGGGAGUAUGGUCGCAAGGCUGAAACUUAAAGGAAUUGACGGAAGAGCACCACCAGGAGUGGAGCCUGCGGCUUAAUUUGACUCAACACGGGAAAACUUACCAGGUCCAGACAUAGUAAAGAUUGACAGAUUGAUAGCUCUUU
rnacentral:rRNA from 1 species